CCGCCCUCCGAGGCGCAGAGGGGAGCUGGGCAAGCGCCUUCUUCAACCACGCGCUCGUUUAAAAGUUUCUCUUUCAAAAAGGAAACGUGGGUUUCUUCCACCCCAUUGGCUGCGACUCCGCCCACUCCGUCCUCCUCCCCCUCGCCCGCCCGCGGCGCCUCGCUCCUCAGCCUCCGCCAUGUACCGCUCGCUCCGCUCCCUCCAGCGCCUGAGUUGCGCCAGGGGCGCCACCGUCCACGCACGCCAGAGGGGCCCGCCGACCUGCAGCCGCCACGCGCAGCCACGGAGGAUGGUGAGCUGCAUUGGAAAAGCAGCAUGCAUUCUAAAUACUGAUGGACAAGUUUUGUUCAUUCCAAAGUGGAUUAUAAAAGCAGUGAGUGUUUCUAGUCCUCAGUAUUGCAAGGUUCUGAAAAUCACAGAUACCAGCAUGCAUACAGCAAAGGACUGGUACCUGUAUGGGAUAUGAACUGAUUUGGUGUAUGUGCUGUUGUUGAAAACAUGUUUAUGUGUGUGUAAUUUGUUUUUAUAUAUGCAAUUGUUUCAAACUGUUGCAUACGUGUAACUGUUUUAUAUAUGCUCAUAUUAUAUACUAAAUCGCUUUGAGAUGCCUCAUGAGAAGUGAUUCUUAAAUGAAAAUAAAAUAAGAGGAUAAUAACCACAA